GUGCUUGCUUUGGCAGCACAUACAAAAUUGGAACUAUACAAAGAAGAUUAGCGUGGUCUCUGCACAAGAGUGACAUGCAAAUUCAUGAAGCAUCCCAUAUUUUU
ensembl:snRNA U6 U6 spliceosomal RNA